UUCAUUCUUUUCUUUAUUUUUUCCCCCCCGACAUUUGGGUUAUCUCCCAUGUGGAUCGGACUGUUGUAUCUCGCUCCAGCUUCCUCGUUUACUGUCGUAACACCCGUAUUUGCCUGGAUAGUGGAUAAAAAGGGAUAUCACAGAUUGUUCCUGGGCACUGUUCCAUUUGUGGCUGCCAUUGCUUUGAUGUUGUGGGGGCCAAGUCCAUUACUAAAAUCACUAAGACCUACAAUAUGGAUGAACUGUGUAUUUGGCGUCAUUUGUGGAGCUGCAGUCGGAACUAUGAACAUGUUGACAGAGGUCUGUAUUCUCAUUGGAGCUAGACAGUCUCGACACUCACGGGUUGGUAUCAGCCUGCUACAUCACGUUUGAAAGUGCUGGGUUUUUCUCGGGUGCAGUAUUUGGAGGAGUGAUGACACAGCACGCUGGGUUUGAGUUGUCCCUCACCGUCAUUGCAGGAUUAUACGUUACUUGUGGAAUAUUAGCAUUUGGUUUGCUGCUAUGCAGAUUCAUGAAUGAUGUCAUUCGUACGAAAACCGAAAACUCGGUUGAUGUUCCAUUACUGGCAAAAUAAACGUCUCUGUUUCCGUACAAUAUGUAAGAUGCUGCCGACCAGAGAAACAUGUUAUGGGAACUUGGUCGCAGCCAGUCUGCGUCGGUCUACUUCCAAUCAGUGGCAUAUCAGAGAAAUUAAAAUUUUGUAGAUCUA